GAUGAACGCUGGCGGCGUGCCUAAUACAUGCCAGUCGAGCGAACAGACGAGGAGCUUGCUCCUCUGACGUUAGCGGCGGACGGGUGAGUAACACGUGGAUAACCUACCUAUAAGACUGGGAUAACUUCGGGAAACCGGAGCUAAUACCGGAUAAUAUAUUGAACCGCAUGGUUCAAUAGUGAAAGACGGUUUUGCUGUCACUUAUAGAUGGAUCCGCGCCGCAUUAGCUAAUUGGUAAGGUAACGGCUUACCAAGGCAACGAUGCGUAGCCGACCUGAGAGGGUGAUCGGCCACACUGGAACUGAGACACGGUCCAGACUCCUACGGGAGGCAGCAGUAGGGAAUCUUCCGCAAUGGGCGAAAGCCUGACGGAGCAACGCCGCGUGAGUGAUGAAGGUCUUCGGAUCGUAAAACUCUGUUAUUAGGGAAGAACAAAUGUGUAAGUAACUAUGCACGUCUUGACGGUACCUAAUCAGAAAGCCACGGCUAACUACGUG
rnacentral:rRNA from 1 species